rnacentral:rRNA from 1 species
CACGUAGGGGGCGAGCGUUGUCCGGAUUCAUUGGGCGUAAAGGGCGCGCAGGCGGCCCGGUAAGUCGGAUGUGAAAACUCGGGGCUCAACCCCGAGCGUGCACCCGAUACUGCCGGGCUUGAGGCAGGUAGGGGAGAUCGGAAUUCCUGGUGUAGCGGUGAAAUGCGCAGAUAUCAGGAGGAACACCGGUGGCGAAGGCGGAGCUCUGGGCCUGUCCUGACGCUGAGGCGCGAAAGCUAGGGGAGCGAACAGG